CAUUCAGGGUCUGGAUCAGAUAUUUAUGGACAAAAAUACCAUAAAAAUAUAUGAGACAAAAAGAAGAGUAAUGUAGUUUGUUAAAGUGGAUGGGAAGGGCACUCUAACCAGGAAAAAUGACUUGUGAAAGGGCCAACUCAAAUUUUAUGUAAAAGAAAGGAGGGAAAGUUGCUUUUCCCAGCUAAGGAAUAACAAGAAAAAUGGGACAUAGUGACUACAACACUGAGAAAAUUCAAACCAGAUAAUGAAUUCAUAGGUUUAAUUUAGGGAACAUGAUUAAACUAUUUUUCUUUGGGUAAAGGUACAUUAAUCCUUGUGGGGUUUUGGGUUAUUGUUUUGUUUUUGUUUUUUGCUUUUUAGGGCCACACUGAGGCAUAUGGAAGUUCCCAGGCUAGGGGCUGAAUCAGAGCUGCAGCUACCAGCCUAUGCCACAGCCACGGUAACAGCAGAUCUGAGCUGUGUCUGUGACUUACACCACAGUUCAUGGCAAUAUCAGAUCCUUAACCCACUAAAUGAGGCCAGGGAUCAAACCCAAGUCCUCAUGGUUACUAGUUGGAUUUGUUUCCACUGCCACCACAAUGAGAACUCCUAAGCCUGGUUUUUAAAAGCUCAUUUUCUGGUGAGUUCAAACAUUAUGACUUUCCUCCUUAGUCCUUCCUCCAACUUACUUCAAGUAACUCUUUAAUGUUCUUUUCUGAACUUUUCAUACCACAAUAGCUAAUUUUUCCCAACUCCCUUCCAUCAACAAUCAUCACUCACUCACAUGUACACUUCUUAAUUCUCUAACCUGCAAAUCUAUAUAGUUGCCAAUCUAUAAGAAAUGAGAGAGAUCAAAUAGAGCUUUUUUCCUUUUCUCAAGCCAGUUAUCAAAGAUGUUGUCUAUGCCCUUACCUCUCCUAUAAGCUGGAUAAGGAUGAGAGGGUAAAGAAAAUGAACAUUUAUUUUAAACAGAGAACAAAAGAAUGUUAGAUUGUGAACACUCUCACGUCCACAGAUAGCAUCAGCUUCCCGCAAUGUGCCAGCCAUGCCAAUCAGUUCUGGAAAUAAAGUAAUGAAUAAAAACUAGACACACAUGUAGCUGAGAAUAUCAGGUGUAUUUUGAUCUCUAGAGAAACAGAAACUAUAAGAUGAUAGAGAGAGAAAGAGGGAUUUAUUUUUAUUGUAAAGGGUAUUGUUUUAAUAUACAAUUCUGAGCUUAAUCCUCUUUUGAUCUCAGUGUCUAUUUCUCUAUCAUCCACCAUUCCCUUUAUUAUGUACCUAAUAACAGAACUUCAAAAUGCAUAAAGCAAAAUGUGUUAGCACUGCAAAGAGAAAUCCACAAUUAAUAUAAAAUUAUCAUCAGAUUUUACACUCAUCUCUCAAAAAAUGAUAGAACAAGCAGACAGAAAAUCAGUGAGGGUAUAUAAGACUUGAACAACGCCAUCACCACUGCAACAGUAUUAGCUACAACCACAAUAAUAUUAAGCAACUUACCUAACUGACAUUUACAGAACAACUAUUAACAGUAAGAUACACAUUCUUUUCAGGUCUGCAUUGGAUAUUCCAAGAAAGACCAUAAUCUCUAUCAUAAAACAAAUACGAAUUCAUUUAAAAGGAUUUGAGUCAGGAGAAACAUUAAGAAAAUGGCAGAAUCGGCAAACUCAGACCCUUCUUCUCCCAUGGAGACACGAAUUUAACAAUAAUACAUGGAACAAUUCCCUUUGUGAAAAAUCCAGAAACCAGUUAAGUGGGUCUUGCACCCAAGGUAGUAUGAAACCAACUACAUAAAAGCCUAAUAGAGAAAUUUGUAGCACUCACUUGCAAGUGAUCCAUCCCUGAUAUGACAUGUUUGGGAGGAAACCCUCAACUCCCAUCUUCUCAGUGGAGAGAGAAAGGAGUAGAACAUAUGUCCAAUGACCUGAAUUUUCAAGGGGGUGCCUGAGGGACUGGUUUCUACCUUGCCUGAAUCUAAGUACUUACAGGAAUGGGUGGCCAGUUUGGGGGAGGCUGAAAACAAAAGCAAUCAAUGUGUCCCAGAGUCCACUAUACUAUAGUCAGAAGCUAGGUGGAAGUUCAGUACCACAGCUCACUACUGCACCACAGAAGCCACAGUGUUGCAGAGAGAUGCCAGAAAGAAGUUCUGAGUAGAAAAUGGCAAGCCUCUUCAAUUAUUAGUUUACAUGCACAGGCCCAAAGUAGUAAGAUCUCCAGAUAAGGCUUAAGAGGUCUCUAGGACCUCUAGCCGGAUUGAUUUGAGAAAGUACCCCUGUAUGAAACCACACCACAAAAAUGAGGGGAGGUGACUGAUUUUUCCAAUGCUGAAUCCCAAGAGAAGAUUAUAAGAUAUACAAAGAAACAGGGAAACAUGACUCAUUGAGAGGAAAAAAUUAAAUUUGACACCUAUCCUAAAGAAAUGAAGAUGUAUGAAUUACCAAAGAAUUCAAAAUAACCAUCAUAUGGAUGCCCAGUGAAUUAACAGAGAACACAAGUAGACAAAUAAUGAAGUCAGGAAAACAAUUCAUUAAGAAAUGAAAACAUUAACAAAGAGGUAGAAACUAUGAAGACCCAAAGAGAAAUUCUGAAACUGAAUUCUUGGCCAUAGAGAAGAAUGAAUCAGUAAAUUUGAAUGCAGGACUUUCAAAUCACCUAAGCAGAUAAACAAGAAGAAAAAUGAAGAGAGGCUAAGGAACUUAUGGAACACUAUCAUGUAGAAUAAUAUAAGCAAUAUGGGAGUCCCAGAAAGAGAAGAAAAAGAGAGAGAGAGAGCCAAUAUGAAGAAAUAAUGACUGCAGCUCACCAAAUCUAGGGAGAGAAAUGGACAUACAAAUUCAGGAGGCUCAAAGAUUCCAACUAGAUAAAUGAAGAGACCUUCACUGAGACACAUCAUAAUCAAAAUAUCAAAAGUCAGAUUCAAGAGAAGAUCCAAGCCACAUCUGCAACCUACACUGUAGCUCACAGCAAAGCUGGAUCCUUAACUGGCUGAGUGAGGCCAGGGAUCAAACCUGUGUCCUCAUGGAUACGAAUCAGGUUUGGUACCACUGAGUCACAAUGAGAACAAUAAAUGCUUAUAUUAAAAAAAAAAAAAAAAAAAGAUCUCAGGCCAAGGACCUAACUUUAGACCUCAGGGAACUAGGAAAAGGAGACAAAACUACAAAACUAAAUCCAAAGUAAAAGAAGGGAGGAAAUAAUAAACGUUAAAGCAGAGAUAAAUAAAAUAGAAUAUAAAAACAAUUUAAAAAGUCAAUGAAGCCACAGCCUUUGAUAAGCUCUUAGCUACACUAGAGAAAAGAAGAAGACUCGUAACUGAAAUUAGAAGUGAAAAAAGAGGAGUUGCCGUCAUGACUCAGUGGUUAACAAAUCCGACUAGGAACCAUGGGGUUGCAGGUUUGAUCCCUGGCCUUGCUCAGUGGGUUAAGGAUCCAGCGUUGCUGUGAGCUGUGGUGUAGGCUGCAGAUGUGGCUUGGAUCUGGCAUUGCUGUGGCUCUGGUGUAGGCCGGUGGCUACAGCUCCAAGUAGACCCCCUGGCCUAGGAACCUCCAUAUGCCACGGGAAUGGCCCAAGAAAUAGCAAAAAGACAAAAAAAAAAAAAAAAAAAAAAAAAAAAAUUAACACCAAUCCUCCUCAAACUUCCAAAGAAUAAGAGUAAGGAACAUUUUCAAACUCAUUCCAUGAGGUCAGCAUACUUUGAUAUCAAAACUAGAAAAAGACACAAAAAGAGAAAACUGCAACCCAACAUCCCUGAUGAACACUGAUGAAAAAAAUCCUUAACAGACUAUUCCCAAAUUGAACCAAACAGCUCAUUAAUAUGAUGAUUUAUCAUGACCAAGUGAGAUUUUUAGCUGGAAUGCAAGGAUUACUAAACAUAAGGAAAUCAACAAAAUAAUCACAUCAACAAAACAGAGGACAAAAACCAUAGAUGACCUUUUCAAUUGAUACAGAGAAAGCAUUUGACAAUUCUUUCAUGAUUAAAAAAAAGGCUCAACAAAUAAAGAAUAGAUAGAAACUAUCUCAACAUAAUAAAAACUAUGUACAAAAAUCCUACAGCAAACAUCAUACUCAAUGGUGAAAGUCUGAAAACAUUUUCUCCAAGAUUGGGAAUAAGGUAAGGAUAUCUACUUUAUCAUUGCUAUUCAACAUAAUUCUGAGACUCCUAGCCAGACCAAUCAGGCAAGAAAAAAAUAAUAAAAGGCAUCCUCUUUGGAAAUAAAGAGAUAAAAUUAUGUGUUUGUAGAUGGUAUUAUUUUACACCUUGAAAAUCCCAAAGGUUCCACAACAAAACUACUACAACUAAUAAAAGAUUUCAGGAUACAAAAUCAGUUAUGUUUUUAUGCACUAACAAUGACCAAUCUGAAAAGGAAAUUAAGAAAAUAUUUUGAGUUCCUGUCGUGGUGCAGCAGAAAUGAAUCUGACUAGGAACCAUGAGGUUUCAGGUUCGAUCCCUGGCCUUGCUCAGUGGGUUAUGGAUCCAGAGUUGCUGUGAGCUGUGAUGUAGUUUGCAGAUGCAGCUCGGAUCCCGAGUUGCUGUGGUUGUGGUAGAGGCCAACAGCUACAGCUCUGAUUAGACCCCUAGCCUGGGAACCUCCAUAUGCCGCAGGUGCAGCCCUAAAAAGACAAAAGAAGACAAAAAAAAAAAAAAAAAAGAAAGAAAGAAAGAAUAUAUUGUUAUUUACUAUAGCAUGAAAAAAGAUAAAAUAAUUAGCAAUACACUUAACUGAGAAAAUGAAAGGCUUGUACAUUGAAAAUUGUAAACCAUUUCUAAAAGAAACCGGGAGUUCCCGUCGUGGCGCAGUGGUUAACGAAUCUGACUAGGAACCAUGAGGUUGCGGGUUCAGUUCCUGCCCUUGCUCAGUGGGUUAAGGAUCCGGCGUUGCCGUGAGCUGUGGUGUAGGUUGCAGACGCGGCUCGGAUCCCGCGUUGCUGUGGCUCUGGCGUAGGCCGGUGGCUACAGCUCCGAUUUGACCCCUAGCCUGGGAA
rnacentral:lncRNA from 1 species